AGCGAACGCUGGCGGCAGGCUUAACACAUGCAAGUCGAGCGGGCACUUCGGUGUCAGCGGCAGACGGGUGAGUAACACGUGGGAACGUACCCUUUGGUUCGGAAUAACGCUGGGAAACUAGCGCUAAUACCGGAUACGCCCUUUUGGGGGAAGGCUUGCUGCCGAAGGAUCGGCCCGCGUCUGAUUAGCUAGUUGGUGGGGUAAUGGCCUACCAAGGCGACGAUCAGUAGCUGGUCUGAGAGGAUGAUCAGCCACACUGGGACUGAGACACGGCCCAGACUCCUACGGGAGGAAGCAGUGGGGAAUAGUGGACAAUGGGCGCAAGCCUGAUCCAGCCAUGCCGCGUGAGUGAUGAAGGCCUUAGGGUUGUAAAGCUCUUUUGUCCGGGACGAUAAUGACGGUACCGGAAGAAUAAGCCCCGGCUAACUUCGUG
rnacentral:rRNA from 1 species